UACGUAGGGGGCAAGCGUUGUCCGGAUUUAUUGGGCGUAAAGAGCGUGUAGGCGGCCAUGCAGGUCCGUUGUGAAAACUCGAGGCUCAACCUCGAGACGCCGAUGGAAACCGCAUGGCUAGAGUCCGGAAGAGGAGAGUGGAAUUCCUGGUGUAGCGGUGAAAUGCGUAGAUAUCAGGAGGAACACCUGUGGUGUAGACGGCUUACUGGACCAUUUCUGACGCUGAGACACGAAAGCGUGGGUAGCAAACAGG
rnacentral:rRNA from 1 species